rnacentral:tRNA from 1 species
AGAGAGGUGUCUGAGCGGUUUAAGGAGCACGCCUGGAAAGCGUGUAUAGGUUAAUAGCCUAUCGAGGGUUCGAAUCCCUUCCUCUCUG